rnacentral:rRNA from 1 species
GACAUGCUAGUCGCGUGCUUCAGCCAAAACGAGGCACGGCAAACAGCUCAGUAACACGUGGCUAAUCUGCCCUUAGGACAAGAAUACCCCCGGGAAACUGGGGCUAAUUCUCGAUAGGUGAAGAACUCUGGAAUGAGUCUUUGCCUAAAAGAGCUUACGUUAUGCUCGUAAGUUUCGCCUAAGGAUGAGGCCGCGACCGAUCAGGUUGUUGGUGAGGUAAUGGCUCACCAAGCCUUUUACCGGUGCGGGCCGUGAGAGCGGGAGCCCGGAGAUGGGCACUGAGACAAGGGCCCAGGCCCUACGGGGCGCAGCAGUCGCGAAAACUUUGCAAUACACGAAAGUGUGACAGGGCUAUCCCGAGUGCCAUCCGCUGAGGAAGGCUUUUACCCAGUCUAGAACGCUGGGGGAAUAAGGAGAGGGCAAGUCUGGUGUCAGCCGCCGCGGUAAUACCAGCUCUCCGAGUGGUGUGGAUGUUUAUUGGGCCUAAAGCAUCCGUAGCUGGCUAAGUUAGUCCUUUGUUAAAUCCACCGAAUUAAUCGUUGGAUCGCGGGGGAUACUGCUUGGCUAGGGGACGAGAGAGGCAGACGGUAUUUUUGGGGUAGGGGUGAAAUCCUAUAAUCCCAGGAAGACCACCAGUGGCGAAGGCUGUCUGCUAGAACGCGCCCGACGGUGAGGGAUGAAAGCUGGGGGAGCGAACCGGAUUAGAUACCCGGGUAGUCCCAGCUGUAAACGAUGCAGCUAGGUGUUUGGACGGCCACGUGCCGUUCUAGUGCCGCAGGAAAGCUGUUAAGCCUGCCGCCUGGGGAGUACGAUCGCAAGAUUGAAACUUAA